AGUGAACGCUGGCGGUAGGCCUAACACAUGCAAGUCGAACGGCAGCACAGUAAGAGCUUGCUCUUACGGGUGGCGAGUGGCGGACGGGUGAGGAAUACAUCGGAAUCUACUUUUUCGUGGGGGAUAACGUAGGGAAACUUACGCUAAUACCGCAUACGACCUACGGGUGAAAGCAGGGGAUCUUCGGACCUUGCGCGAUUGAAUGAGCCGAUGUCGGAUUAGCUAGUUGGCGGGGUAAAGGCCCACCAAGGCGACGAUCCGUAGCUGGUCUGAGAGGAUGAUCAGCAACACUGGAACUGAGACACGGUCCAGACUCCUACGGGAGGCAGCAGUGGGGAAUAUUGGACAAUGGGCGCAAGCCUGAUCCAGCCAUACCGCGUGGGUGAAGAAGGCCUUCGGGCUGUAAAGCCCUUUUGUUGGGAAAGAAAAGCAGCAGGUUAAUACCCCGCUGUUCUGACGGUACCCAAAGAAUAAGCACCGGCUAACUUCGUG
rnacentral:rRNA from 1 species